rnacentral:rRNA from 1 species
UACGUAGGGUGCUAGCGUUGUCCGGAAUUACUGGGCGUAAAGCGUGCGCAGGCGGCUUCUCAAGUCAGGGGUGAAAGCCCAGAGCUCAACUCUGGAAUUGCCUUUGAGACUGAGUGGCUUGAGUACGAGAGAGGUGAGUGGAAUUCCCAGUGUAGAGGUGAAAUUCGUAGAUAUUGGGAAGAACACCGGUGGCGAAGGCGGCUCACUGGCUCGUAACUGACGCUCAUGCACGACAGCGUGGGGAUCAAACAGG